GCAAGUCCAGCCAGCGGAAGUGCGUUCCGACGCCCAGGGUGGCAGUGGAUGAGACUUCCUGUCUUGAGUGGCCAUAUCCUCCCCUGGCCGAAAGGAAAAUCCCAUUAGUGGCAACCUGAUAAAGCACAGAGGUUUCCCACUGAGAGAUUGUGAUGCAAACCCUAGCAGAGUGUUCUUUUCCCUCUGAGGUAGAUCACUAGAUUAGCUGUUAUAGCUCUUUGAUCUCAGGCAAGUUAAUUAGCUUAUUUGAUAUCCAUGAAAUGGACUUCCUUGUUUGUCCAAGAAAUAUUCCUUACAAACUAGCUAAGUACUGGGCACUGUGCUAAGUGCCGUGGGUGCUUCGGUGACUAUGAGAGAUGAGGUCCCCCGUCACUGAGGUGCUGGCAGUCCAAUGAGAGAACCAGACAAAGAUGGUGACUGCCAUAGUUACGUGCUAAGUGCGGUAAGCAGGAUGAAGGAAACACACAGGGCAGAGCAACAGAAAGCACAUGGGAAGAUGUGAGCGGCUGCAGAGGAUGAAGAGAGAAGGCUUUUCUCUGUGGAGGUGGCAGUCCAGCCAAGCCCCUUGAAGGAUCGAAGGGCAUCAGGGGAGGCAUUCUGUGCAGAUCUGAUGGCCGGUGUAGGAAUAAAAUAGCAUGCUCUCGCACUGGAAGGGAGCCAGCGUGGGCUGAGCCUGGGGGCUGAGGGAAUGGAGCACAAGAUGAGGGCGGAGUAGAAGCAGGAGCUGGAUCGUGCAGGCCUUGGGAGGAAGUCUAGCUUCCAUUUCAAGAGAAGUGGAAGCCACCGCUGGGCUUUAAGCAAGACUAUGCUUUUCAAAGAUCACUCUAUAGAGAUGGAUUGGAUGGAGCAUGAUUGAAAGCAGAUGACCAGGCAGCAGGAGCGAGGAGAAAGAGAGAGAGAGAGAGAGAGAGAGAGAGAGAGAGAGAGAGAGAGAGAGAGAGAAAGAGAGAGAGAGAAAGAAAGAGAGAAAGAAAUGGUGGCUUGGACUAAGAGAGAGGCAGUGGAUUGGGAGAGAGGAGAAGAGUCUAGAUAGUUUUUGGAACUUUAUAAUAUCUACUAUGCAGAAUUACAAGCAUUAGUGACACGUAUGUGAAACAUCUGGAACAGCGUCCAGCUCAUCAAAGAUGCUCAGUCAAUAAUAGUAGUUUCUGCUGCUAUUUAGAUUUGAAGAUGAGAUGACUGCAUAUUUGUCACUUCCGUCGAGGGUUGGCAAACAUUUUUCCGUAAAGGUCUAAACUUGCUUGGAAUGAAGAGACUGGGGUUUAUAACAUGACGUGAGUCCUAGUAACCUUAGCUCUGAUGUUAGAAAGAAAGGUUUCCAUGGCCUUGCUGACUCCAGCAUGUCUCUGCUGGCGGAGGACAGGACUGAUCAUUUGGUACAGGAGUCAAGGAGAGGGGCCUCGAAGCUGUGUUUUCAACUCAUGGACGUUUGUCCACCUAGACAGGUGGGUCUCAAUCUGGCUGGACAUUAGAGUCGCUUUGGGAGCUUAAAAGCACAAAACCAGACCAAACCAGAAACCUCUGCCUGGCGCCCUUGCCCAGAUAUCCUGCUUAAUUGUCAUUGUGCAUCUUAUGAAACCUCUCAAGUGAUCCUGACCUGCAGCCAGAGUUGAAACUCAGAGUUGAAACCACCGAGUUAAUUUGAACGCUUGUUUGGAUGGCUUUGGGGAAGUAGAAUGACAGCUAUUUGGGGGUUACUCACACCACCCCUUGACAUGUUCACUAGUCUAUGUCCUUGACAAGCCCCAAAGUCCCCUUAUCUCCUCUGAUUUCCCUGUUUGGAUUUGCUCUCUCUUCUGCAAACACAAGUCCAAUCUUUAUAUCUGAGCUUACCAUCCGCAGCAAGAGUACCUCUCUAGCAAUGCUGCUCAAACCUCCGAGAAAGGUUGAUUUGAUAAAGAUAAUUCACAUGAAGGUGUGGCCGAGGGUCCUGAAAGGUGAGAGUAAAUGGCGUACCUCUUACCUAAUGCAUCAGUGCUGAAUAGCCUAUUAAGGGCAGUAGUUUUGAGGGUCUGGAUCCUUUCUCUAUUUUGAAUCCUCCUUCCCUUGAAUCUACCAGGAAAUAAAUAGAAUAUGCGGAAUCAAGCCCCAUCCGUUCAUGCUGGUGCAGUGCAGCGCUGAGCAGAACUUCAUUAAUUUUAUUUGCGGUGCUGCCGUGGCAGGGAUCACGGUAGAUACAGAAUGCAUGAACUCUCUCUGCCUGCCUCGGAGCUGUAGUUAGCACCAUUUUGGUGCCCACAUCGCAUCGGAAGACUGUACCUUACACCUCAGCACCCUGCUAUCGGGGACAGAAUCUCGGGAGCUCAAAUUACUUUUCUAAUGGAAAAAGGAAUAUGGCUUCUGAAAGGUUCCAUUUACCACUUACAAUUAAUUAGCCACCUGAGUGAAGUCGGACUCUGUCAGUGUGCAGUUGCAGGGGAACCUUUUACACACACACACACACACACACACACACACACUAUGAACUUUGCAGAUGGACAGGCAGCCCAGGGCACACUUAUGGAGACAUCCAGCAUCGCUCAGUGAUUCAUUUCUGAUUCAUUCGGAAUAGGGAAGACUAUAAGAAUACUCUUUAUUUGUUUUUAGCUCCCAGAUCUUUUGACUUAUGACAGCACUUAAGACCACUUCAUACAGAGAAGAGAAAUUUUCCAGAGUAAAAAGCUGGGAAGUUGAACAAAUCAGAAGCCAGCCAGGCUUGCAAUUCUGAAUGAACAAGUGAUUUCCAAGUCUAGGCUGGAGUUUAGCAGUGUCCUGAAUGGGAACACAAAGUGCAUGCCCACUAGCCAUGUAAGCAGGACUAAAGGAACUCCAGCUGAGCGUGUGAAUUACUGAAUACGCAGGGCCUAUGAAAGUUUAACGAUGAAGAUUUAUAUUACUAGUUAAUAUUAUCGAAGUACCUCCUUGCACCAAGGACAACACAAGCACCUUUAUUACGUUGUGUCUUGUUAAAUUCACAUUGUAAUCCCUUUGGUAAUGUUCUCUUACCCACCUUUGACUGAUAAAGACAUGGAGGCUUAGACUAUUUAAGUAAGUUGCUAAAAAUCACAGUGCCGGAAAAGGAGAAAGUUGGGAAUUGAACCCAAGUCAAUUUGCUUUAUAGCCUCUAUUCAUAAUCAUUAUGAGAACGCAGACAAGCAAGAGCAUUGUGGAAAAAUAUAUUUAAAUACGAAGAUAUAUGUAUUUGUAUAUUUACAUGGGCAUCAGCUAAUUUAUCCAAAUAUCCCUUAGAGUUUCCCACUUUCUCUUCACUUGUUUCUUAUGAUUGAUAGUUGUUACCUGGUACCUUCUGACUCUGUAACUUUGUUACGAUCCUGGUCCUGCAUCAUACUUUCCUUUCCUUAGCAGAUUUUCUGCCACCCGCCUGUAGCCGAUGCUAAUUAUCACUGCAGUUUCAGUGAUGCAUUUUAUCAGUGGAAAAGGCGCUGGGAUAUUCAAAGGGGUGCGUGCCUUUCUGUAGCGCUCAGAUGUCUGUCGGUCCCGUGAGCAGUAUCAUCUUGCUUUACUCCGCGAACCCCAGGAGAUUUCAGCCCCUUCGCUGCAGCAUCACUGCCAUAGUCAUAGACUCUGAGCUUUUCCUUGGCUGACCGGAUGCCUCCCGAAAAAGUUUAGGAGAUGAAAUCCAAACUGUGACUUCAGCCCCCAGUAGGGGGACAUGGAAGAUAGUUGAGUUCCAGAGGGCACAGAGCCAUACUUAUUGAACUUAUUGAUAAAGCCACCAUGGGUUACCACACAACAUAACACGGAAGGCUACCUGUGUGUGUUACACAGUGGUCACUUGUGUGUCCCCUUUCAAUACAUGCCAACUCCAACUGGAUUUGUAAAAAAAAAAAAGAAAAAAGAAAAAAAAGACCAUUAAAUCAAAUGUAUCCUUUUUGAAUAUA